rnacentral:rRNA from 1 species
AUUGAACGCUGGCGGCAUGCCUUACACAUGCAAGUCGAACGGCAGCACGGGAGCAAUCCUGGUGGCGAGUGGCGAACGGGUGAGUAAUAUAUCGGAACGUGCCCAGUCGUGGGGAUAACGUAGCGAAAGCUACGCUAAUACCGCAUACGAUCUAUGGAUGAAAGCGGGGGAUCGCAAGACCUCGCGCGAUUGGAGCGGCCGAUAUCAGAUUAGGUAGUUGGUGAGGUAAAGGCUCGCCAAGCCGACGAUCUGUAGCUGGUCUGAGAGGACGACCAGCCACACUGGGACUGAGACACGGCCCAGACUCCUACGGGAGGCAGCAGUGGGGAAUUUUGGACAAUGGGCGCAAGCCUGAUCCAGCAAUGCCGCGUGCAGGAUGAAGGCCUUCGGGUUGUAACGU